AUAGACGGAGCAGUGCCUCCAUCACUGCUGACAAAGCCCAAAUCCUCUGCUUCUGGUAGAGACUGACCCCCGACCCAAAGAGGGCAAUCCACCAUUUUCCGGUCGGGGACCAUGGCCUCGGGCUCAGAGGAGCUGACUUUCAUCCUGGCCGCUACACAGUCCAAGAGGCCAGGACCCCCUCCUCUCCAUGACUACGCCUUGAGAUCCUAUCCAUGAACACCACAGCCAGGAUCGGUGACAAAGGGGCAACCCUGGCGGUGUCCAGCUCGUGCUGGGAACAGGCUCGACUUUGUGCCGAGAACGCUGACACAGCUCUUGCUUUUGGCAUGCAAGAAUUGGAUAGCCCUUAAAAGCCACCCAGACACCCUAUACUCCCACAGCACCCCCCCACAAAAUACCUCGGGGGACAGGGUUGUUAGCCUUCUCCAGAUCCACAAAACACACGACAACCGCAGACGCAUACUCCCACUGUAUGACGCCCUCAGCAAUUCCACGAGGUUAAAUAUCUGGUCCACUCUUUCACAGCCAGGACGAAAGCCACACGGCUCCUCCUGGAUCCGAGGUUUGAAUAUCAUUCAGAGCCUUCUUACCAACACCCCAGAGUAAGCUUUCCCAGGGAGGCUGAAAACGGUGAUCCCCAGAUAAUUGGAACACACGCUCCGAUCCCAGAAGGCAGAACAAAGCACGGGUUUAUCUCUCUGAGCUUUAAACCUCUGUCUGUCUUGAAAAAACACUAAAUCUGACAAGGUUUGGAGUCCUUUGGAAAUCUCAGCGUGAAGGUAAAAGGUCCAUAUUCUCCAGGGAAUGCAUAUUGCUAAUUAAUUGCUCAUAAAGGAUUGUGAACUUUGCGAUAAUUUAAUCUUUUCAAGUUUUGAGUAAAACCUUGUUUUGCAGCGAUUGCUCUCUCACGGACCCUGUGUGACGUCACUUCUGCUUCUGAUGAAGGGCUAAAUAUCAGAAAUAGGGGGCCAAUAUACUAAUAGCUGCAUUUCCAACAGACAUGGACCAUGGGAAGAAGGAAAGAUGUAAAAUCUCCAAGUUUGAUGAAAAAAAAUUCAAAAGAUCUGCUGAAAGUUGGAGAUUUCUGUGAGAUUCCCUAUCUCUGCAAAAGAAAAGCUGUCUUGACAGAUGCCUGCAGAAACUGAGAGUCUCAUGGUAAUUCAGGAAGAGGAAGAUGUGAGCGCACGCCUCCUUACUCGCAGUCUCUGCGUUCUACAUGCAAGCCACGGUGUAAUAUGGCUUUUUAUUCCUAUGUGAUGAUACAAAAUAUUCAUGUAGGAAUAGAAGCUAUUUUAUAUGUGGUAAGAGAGCAGCACAACACACGCAAGAACCGCUGGCCGCUCACGGAGACAGACGCACGGCUGGAUAAAUGUCUCUGUCUUCUGCUCAAUGCUUCCCUGUAGUAAAAAGGUACAUUUAUGCUCAUCUUUCAAUUGAUGAGAGAACUCACUGAAGUGCUCAUCUGAAAGAGGGAGAAAAACAGAAAAAAAGAAAGCAACAAAAAAAAGAAAACAACAAAAACAAAAAAAAAAGUCAGACUUUGUUGUGUGUGCACCUGUUUUUUUGCCUCUAGGCACAAGCAGCCUCCACUGCUUCGGCUGUUUGAUGCAUUUGGUGACAGAUGCCGUCCGCGGGGAAGCAGGAAACAUUUGCAAAACAUCCCAAGAACAAAGGAAGAGAAGAGCAACGAGAGACCAAUACAGAUCUUUAAUAACAAACUGUAAAACAGGCACUUUAGUGAACCACUUUACAACCUGCAAGAGGCAGUUUCCCUUUCUGUUCAAUGUCAUUCAUUUUGCAAAUUAUUAAAAUAAAACUUUGUCA